CACAGUAGCACCCUAAACUAAAACUACCAAUGGGUUUCCUGUUUUCCUUUCUGAACAAUUCAAAGGUCUCUCUCUAUCUCCCCACACAUCCACCAACCACUGGAACACAUCUCCAAAGUUCUGCCUGGCCAGCUCAGCUUCCCCUCAGAAGAAGUGCCGCCACCUGCCAGAUGAAGGAGCCUUUUGAGAGGCAGCUGGCAUCGUGAUUGGACUGUACUUUGGUCUGUUCCAAUCCAGCUUCAGCUCCAGAGACGGCAGGCGGGACGAGUCAACGGAGGCCGGGUGGACGAAGGCAUGCAGCUGAGUACAAUCCAGAAAACAACAGAGGAGGAGUGCAGUGGCCCAGGGCCAGAACAAACAGAACCAAAGAACUACAGACUCUUCACAACCUGCUCAAACUCUUGGUACAGGACCUCACCACACGGGUCAAGAAGGUUUCCGUCUCAUUUGUACUCUGAAGCUCACCUUCUCCUGCUCAAACUGCUGACAGAUGUUUCUGCUGCUCUAAAGUCUGGUCUCCAGAACUUCCUAAAAACUCUCAAAGUCUCUUCUGCUGCAGGUUGCUUUGUAGAACUGUUCCAGAAAACCUCACUAAACCACAUGGAGGGGCCUCAAGAUAGUCGUCCAAAUGAAACUGUACAAAAACCAAACUAGCACAACCCAAAUGAUAAAGUCUCCUGUAGCCUACCAGAGAACCUCUGAGAACAGAGAAUCAGGACAGGAACUCUUACCUUCUGGACAACCAACGCUGAUUCACAAACAAGAAUACAGAAUGUGUCUGACCAAAAACCCCUCAAGACUCACUACAGCCAAGAUAAAGACACAACUCAGCUGCACCAAAUCCGCUAAUCACUGCACACAUUAGCACCAUGUUAUAACUGUGGCUAAAGAACCAUAUUUACCAAGACAACUAUCCAGUACAAAGCCCUAAAACACACCAAGAAACACAUUAAAGACGAUUUUACUGCUGGAAGCUGCAAGCAAACGCCUAAAGAACAAACUAAAGCAACGGAACCAAACCCGGUUCUGUGGUGUAGAGAAACAGAGGAAAUGUUUGGCUGCAGCUAUAUAAAGCAGGAAGACACUGAGCUGCUCAGGUGUUCCUGAUAACACCAAGCUGCUCAGGUGUUCCUGAUAAUACCAAGCAGCCACCUGGACAGCCAAUAGGAACACAGCUUACUGGAAGUCCAGAGGGCUGGCUUAGUGAAGGAAAUUUAAUUUAAAGUUGAAGCAGAAAGUUAACAAAGAAAGUUGAAAACCACUUUCUGAUACCUGAAAUCUCUGAGUUUUCACACAAAGAACGCAUGAACAUGUCAUGUUAUUUUAGAAAACAAACCAACUGAGAGGCAUUUGUUCACACGUGGCUGAAUAGGAGGCCGUCCAAUCAGAUUCAAGGUCUUCACUCUGUAGGUUGUUUGUUGGGUGAGACUCUUGGACCUCCAUCAGCUGACGUGGAUGUUUGAUGGUCUUCCUCUCUAGUGCCAGAUGAUUCAUCCAUGAAUUCAGCAGCUACAGACUGAAAUGAAGCUCAUGCUGCCGUGAUUGAAUUCCUGUUCCAGAUCAAAUGUUCAGAGCUCACCUUGAAUGCAGCCGUCUGCUGUCUGAUAGUUUUUCUCAUUGUAGUCUUCAAUCAAGUCUUUUUCCUCAUGUCAGGAUGUGGUGAGACUCUUUCUCAGUCUCUGCAGACGUCCCUCAUUGUGCAUCUCCAGAGAAGAAACAGAAAAACUGGUCACUGCUUCAGCAUCAAACGCUCUCCAGCAUUGAGAGUGUUUUAGGAAUUAAUUCAUUGUGUUGUGAACUUUGAAGGAGCAGAAACUUUACAGCUGCCAAAGAUAUGAGCUCCAAUUCUGAUGUUUUAGGAAAUGAAGUUCAUCAAAUGAACACUUGAUUUUUGCUGAUAACUCUCAUUAAAUUACUGAAGAAAUCCAACAUAAAAACCUGUAAACUCUCAGGCAGCUUUUGUUAAAGUUUGUCUAUAAUUCUAUCAUCACGUUCUGGAGCCAGGACUCUGCAGAAGUUCCUUCAAACAGAUACUUGUGUGUUUCACUAUUUAAGGCCUCAGGUUUGAACGUACAGCAGAGGAUUAGAAAGGAGUGAUUUUAAUAUUUAAAUCAGUCCAGUAAAUGUUUGGAGUAAAAAUGAUUAAAUUUUUGAUUUAGAUAGAUUUGUGUCAAAUAAUAAUGUAGAGCCUCACUUAAAUGUCAGCUAAGGUAAAACUAUCCUUUUAACGUACGCUUUCAACAGAUUAAAUGCACGAACCAAAAGGAAAUACAUAUGACAAUGUGCAUUGUAUUUCAGUUUCUUGCUUUAAUUUGUUUUUAUCUAGGCAUUUCAAAUCCUCUGCAGUUGUGCCAGUUUUGGUUUGCUUCUCAAAAGCAUGUUUAGCCUCAGGUGACGCGUGUUUGUCCCACUGCAGGUCGCUGGUCGAAGCAGUUCGUAGAGUCGGGAUGCUUGGAGGAAAAUGAGGUUCGCCGGCUUUCACAUGGAGAUGCUGCUGUAGAUGCUGCUGUAGAGACCAAAGAACUACAGACUCUUCACAACCUGCUCAAACUCUUGGUACAGGACCUCACCACACGGGUCAAGAAGGUCGCUGGUCGAAGCAGUUCGUAGAGUCGGGAUGCUUGGAGGAAAAUGAGGUUCGCCGGCUUUCACAUGGAGAUGCUGCUGUAGAUGCUGCUGUAGAGACCAAAGAACUACAGACUCUUCACAACCUGCUCAAACUCUUGGUACAGGACCUCACCACAUGGGUCAAGAAGGUUUCUGUCUCAUUUCUACUCUGAAGCUCACCUUCUCCUGCUCAAACUGCUGACAGAUGUUUCUGCUGCUCUAAAGUCUGGUCUCCAGAACUUCCUAAAAACUCUCAAAGUCUCUUC